UACAGAGGUCUCAAGCGUUGUUCGGAUUCAUUGGGCGUAAAGGGUGCGUAGGUGGUUGGGUAAGUCAAAUGUGAAAUCCCGGAGCUCAACUCCGGAACUGCAUUCGAUACUGCCCGGCUCGAGGAUUGGAGAGGAGACUGGAAUUCACGGUGUAGCAGUGAAAUGCGUAGAGAUCGUGAGGAACACCCGUGGCGAAGGCGGGUCUCUGGACAAUUUCUGACACUGAGGCACGAAGGCCAGGGGAGCAAGCGGG
rnacentral:rRNA from 1 species